UGAGGAAUAUUGGGCAAUGCCCGCAAGGGUGACCCAGCAACGCCGCGUGGAGGAUGAAUGUCGUAAGAUUGUAAACUCCUGUUAGAGGGGAAGAAUAGUACCGGUUGGACCGGUAUAUGACUGUACCCUCAGAGAAAGCCCCGGCUAACUACGUGUCAGCAGCCGCGGUAAUACGUAGGGGGCAAGCGUUGUCCGGAUUUACUGGGUGUAAAGGGCGCGCAGGCGGGAUAAAAAGUCAGUGGUGAAAUCCUACAGCUUAACUGUAGAACUGCCUUUGAUACUUUUAUUCUUGAGUUCGGGAGAGAGAGACGGAAUUCCAGGUGUAGUGGUGAAAUACGUAGAUAUCUGGAAGAACACCAGUUGCGAAGGCGGUCUCUUGGUCCGACACUGACGCUGAGGCGCGAAAGCGUGGGGAGCAAACA
rnacentral:rRNA from 1 species